UACGGGGGGGGCAAGCGGUUGUUCGGAAUUACUGGGCGUAAAGGGCUCGUAGGCGGCCAACUAAGUCAGACGUGAAAUCCCCAGGCUCAACCUGGGAACUGCGUCUGAUACUGGAUGGCUUGAAUCCGGGAGAGGGAUGCAGAAUUCCAGGUGUAGCGGUGAAAUGCGUAGAUAUCUGGAGGAAUACCGGUGGCGAAGGCGGCAUCCUGGACCGGCAUUGACGCUGAGGAGCGAAAGCCAGGGGAGCAAACGGG
rnacentral:rRNA from 1 species